rnacentral:lncRNA from 1 species
ACUUAUGUCUGUCUAAUACAAAAAUUUUCGCUGGCAAUUCUACUAUAUUAUACGUUUAUAAUAUAUACUUGUAUAUAUCAGUAUCAGACGUUCUUCAAACUGUGUAUGUAGUAUUUCUGCUAUACAUGUAUAUAAAUAUAACUUUACAAUCGUGAAAGAGGACUAUUUAUUGCACAUGGAAUAGCAUAAGAUAAAUAUAUCUUAUAUAGGAUGAAUUAGAAUUAAUCGGAUACCUGAAUAUCUCGGUUGAAUUUAAAAUUACAAAGAAUGCCUACAUCAGAAUCAAAAUGGUUUUGAAAGACCACUUGAAAGAAAGAAUCAUCAGGGCUUAUGUGUCGGUUCCAUCUGAAAUGAAUUAUAGAGUAUUAGAUUCUUAUUCUUUGAAAUUAAAUAAAUGUAUUGCAGCUCAAGGGAAUAAUUUUGAACAUUUAGCAUAACAUAAAUAAAGUAAAUAAACCUUACAUGAUAAAUUUUAUGUAUUCCAUAUUUUUGGGUUAAAGAUCGUUUGAAGAUCAUAUUGUGGUACACUGUUGAACUCGCUAAGUAUGGCUACAAAAUGUAUAGGAAAAAAAUAUUCAAUUCCAUUUAAAAAAAAGUUGGUGAUCUAAAAAACAUAAUAUUAUAACGACCAUGUACGUCCUUCAAAACCAUUUUGAUUUUGAUGUAGACAUAUUUUGUAAUUUUAAAUUCAACAGAGAUAUUUAGGUAUUCGAUUAAUUUUGACUCGCCCUGUAUAUAUGAAAAAUUACACAAAUUUUUAAUCUUUUAUGUCAUUAGGCUAUUAUUUUUUUCAUUGUAUCAACAAUUACCGUCUUGAGAAUGUUCCAAUAACUUGUUAGUAAUCUAAAAAAAGAGAAUUUUGUUUCGUUUUUUUUGUUUUACUUACUGUAUUAAUGUUACCUACAUAUGUUUGAAGCCGACUGUACAAUGUCCAAAACAUUUACAACAUUAUUUGAUCAAAUAAUAUAUAUAAUAUGCAAUAUAAGGCAGUGGGUGACAUAUUGUAUAUGCUUGAAAAAAUAAAAAUCGUUAUUCCUAUA